rnacentral:rRNA from 1 species
UACGAAGGGUGAAAACGUUGCCCGGAAUUAUUGGGCGUAAAGCGCACGUAGGCGGCUUUGCAAGUCGGAUGUGAAAUCCCUCGGCUUAACCAAGGAAGUGCAUCCGAAACUGCAGAGCUUGAGUACUUAAGAGGAUCGCGGAAUUCCCGGUGUAGAGGUGAAAUUCGUAGAUAUCGGGAGGAACACCAGUGGCGAAGGCGGCGAUCUGGGAAGAUACUGACGCUGAGGUGCGAAAGCGUGGGGAGCAAACAGG